AAAUUGAAGAGUUUGAUCAUGGCUCAGAUUGAACGCUGGCGGCAGGCCUAACACAUGCAAGUCGAACGGUAACAGGAAGCAGCUUGCUGCUUCGCUGACGAGUGGCGGACGGGUGAGUAAUGUCUGGGAAACUGCCUGAUGGAGGGGGAUAACUACUGGAAACGGUGGCUAAUACCGCAUAACGUCGCAAGACCAAAGAGGGGGACCUUCGGGCCUCUUGCCAUCAGAUGUGCCCAGAUGGGAUUAGCUGGUUGGUGAGGUAACG
rnacentral:rRNA from 1 species